UAUAGGAUUAUAGACAUGUUUGCCUGCUUGUAAAGGAAGCAAGUAGAGGAAACAGAUUGUCCUUCUGGUCAGUAGUUGAGCACAGAGAACUAUAAGCCAAUCAGUGCUUAUUUGCGGGCCAAUAGCUCAGUUACUCAUGCUGGCCUCCCACUCAUUGCUUCCUCCUCCUCGCAAGUACAAGAAAACACAUUGCUAGCACACCCCCAUUUCUGACUGUCACGAAGGCAUAUGAGCAAUUCUGACUGUUUACAUCUUAUAUGGUCAUGCCACUCUGCUGCACUGCAGGAUUUCAGGACCUAGAAAGUGGUGUAAGCGAAAUCAACAUCUCCUCUCCUGCAGGAACUCAGAACGGAGCUUCAAAUCCAAGGAAGUUUGGUAUAGCCAUUUCUGACUUGGCAAUCAUUUUUUGAAAAACAGAAAGAUCCACAGAAAGAAGGGACAGAUGAAGAACUCACGCAGUUGCAGAGUGUGAGGCACAGAGUCUUUUGGAUCACUUGCCAAAUGUAAUCAUGCAUCUCUAAUUGGUUGGCCCCUUUGUCAAUUUCUAAAUUUCAUACUCCUGGUAGGAGAUUGUUCUGCAUUGUUUUUUAAAGGUUUGUAGGUUUGAUGUGCAGGGCCUCCAGCUGUGUGAUGACCUUUUGGGGAAGCAGGAAAGAUCAAGCUUCUUCAGAGGCUCUGUGAUGGUAACGUACCAUAUUACCUGCAAUUGACUAAAAGAAAACAGCUGUUGAACAAAGGCUUCCUAAAGAAGACACCUAAGAAACUGAACAUCCUAAGACUUCUCUGCUUUCCAAACAAACUAUGGGAUUUCCCCCUCUCAUCUUGACUAUUGACCUAUACUUUAAUCAGUAGAAUAUUGUGCCAGCAUUAAAUUUGUUAUUUCCCAUUGCUGA